rnacentral:rRNA from 1 species
GGGUAACCUGCCCAAGAGAUCGGGAUAACACCUGGAAACAGAUGCUAAUACCGGAUAACAACAGAUGAUGCCUAUCAACUGUUUAAAAGAUGGUUCUGCUAUCACUCUGGAUGGACCUGCGGUGCAUUAGCUAGUUGGUAGGGUAACGGCCUACCAAGGCGAUGAUGCAUAGCCGAGUUGAGAGACUGAUCGGCCACAUUGGGACUGAGACACGGCCCAAACUCCUACGGGAGGCAGCAGGU